rnacentral:rRNA from 1 species
UUUGUGAUCAAAGAUUUAUCGGUUUGGGAGCGGCCUAUUUCCUAUCAGCUUGUUGGUGAGGUAACGGCUCACCAAGGCUACGACGGGUAGCGGGACUGAGAGGUUGGCCCGCCACAUCGGGACUGAGACACUGCCCGGACCUCCACGGAGGGCUGCAGUAACGAAUAUUGCACAAUGAGCGAAAGCUUGAUGCAGCAAUGCCGCGUGUAGGAUGAAGCCCCUCGGGGUGUAAACUACUGUCAGGGGCUAGAAAGUGUACUUCGGUACAUUGAUCAACCCCAGAGGAAGCAACGGCUAACUUCGUGCCAGCAGCCGCGUAAUACGAAGGUUGCAAGCGUUGUUCGGAAUCACUGGGCUUAAAGCGCACGCAGGCGGAAUUUCAAGUGUCUUGUGAAAUCCCUCGGCUUAACCGAGGAAUUGCUCGGCAAACUGGAAUUCUUGAGGCAAGUAGGGGUACAUGGAACUCUUAGUGGAGCGGUGGAAUGCGUAGAUAUUAAGAGGAACGCCAAUGGUGAAGACAGUGUACUGGGCUUGUACUGACGCUGAGGUGCGAAAGCGUGGGGAGCGAACGGGAUAGAUACCCCGGUAGUCCACGCCGUAAACGAUGUCUACUAGGUUGUGGGAGUUCUGACACUUUCACAGCCGAAGCAAAAGUGUUAAGUAGACCGCCUGGGGAGUACGGUCGCAAGGCUAAAACUCAAAGGAAUUGACGGGGGCUCACACAAGCGGUGGAGCAUGUGGAUUAAUUCGAAACAACGCGCAGAACCUUACCUGGGUUUGACAUGUUUGGAUCCCUAUCUGGAAACAGAGUCGGGUGCCCUUCGGGGUGAAACUUACACAGGUGCUGCAUGGCUGUCGUCAGCUCGUGUCGUGAGAUGUCGGGUUAAGUCCUUUAACGAGCGAAACCCUUACCGUUAGUUGCCAGCGCGUUAUGGCGGGGACUCUAGCGGGACUGCCGGUGUUAAACCGGAGGAAGGCGGGGAUGACGUCAAGUCCUCAUGGCCUUUAUGCCCAGGGCUUCACACGUGCUACAAUGGUAACUACAGAGCGAAGCGAGACCGCGAGGUGGAGCAAAUCGCAAAAAAGUUGCCUCAGUUCGGAUUGCAGGCUGUCAACUCGCCUGCAUGAAGUUGGAAUCGCUAGUAAUCGCGUAUCAGCUAUGACGCGGUGAAUGUGUUCCUGAGCCUUGUACACAUCGCCCGUCAAGUGAUGGGAGCCGGGAGCACCCGAAGUCGGUUUGCUAACUUUCGAGAAGCGACUGCCUACGGUGAGUUCGGUGACUGGCACUAAGUCGUAACAAGGUA